rnacentral:rRNA from 1 species
CGGUGGGGAUGGACGUCAAAUCAUCAUGCCCCGUUACUGACCUGGGCUACACACGUGCUACAAUGGGCGGUACAAAGGGUCGCGAAACCCGCGAGGGGGGAGCCAAUCCCAAAAAGCCGACUCCGUCAGUUCGGAUUGCAGGCUGCAACUCGCCUGCAUGAAGCCGGAAUCGCUAGUAAUCGGCGGAUCAGCACGCCGCGGUGAAUACGUUCCCGGGCCUU